CUAUGACAAGUAACUUGUCAUGGCGGAAGGAG
rnacentral:ncRNA from 1 species